rnacentral:tRNA from 1 species
GGUAGAAUGGCUGAAGAUAAGCAUUAGACUGUAAAUCUAAAAAUAAAGGUAAUGUCCUUUUUCUAUCA